GCAAUUUUAUCCCAAAAUUUAUCCCUAACUCAGAUACCCGGACAACCUUAACUUUUCCCCCCUAAAAAUUUUCCCCCAAACGCCAAAUUUUCCCUAAAUCAAAAUCCCAACCCAUCUCUGCAUCGCCGGACCCGACCAUCUGCUGCAUCGCCGGACCCGACCAUCUGCUGCAUCGCCGUCGACUUGACCAUCUUCUGCGUCGCCGUCGACUUGACCAUCUUCUGCGUCGCCGUCGCACUGCUCUUUUUGCCAUCUUCUUCUCUGUUCUCAUUUGCCUCUUUUGACGGAACAUCUUAUUGUUUCGAGGGGUUGUUGUUCAGUUUCAAGAUUUCUUGCUUUUUUGUUUACUUUGGUUGAUAUAAUCAUCUAGAUUGAUUGUUGUUUAUGUAAAAUUUCAGUUACAAUGACCAAGUUUUGAACCCUAACAAGAAGGACAUCAGCAAGGAAAAACUCCCCAGAAACUGUUAUUUUCAUUCAUUUCUCGAUCAUAUUUCCUUUUUCUUAGAAUUGAUAAGACUAAUUGUUGUUCCCUGCAUUUAGUGGGGGAAAUUUCGACGACAGAUUUGAGCCUUAACUAUUUUUAUUUUUUAAGAAAAUCAUAAAAUGCCUUUUCUUCUCUGAUCUUGCUGAAACAUGAUUGCAUCAAUGACAUAAACCUCAUCAGGACGAGUUAACCAGUAUGAAACUUGGUUACAAAAUCUAUAAGUUAAUUUAAUACUUGCAUGAUAAUUGUAAUGUAAUUUCUUGCCUUGUUUAUAAACAUGGUAAAUUCGAUUACUGGUUUCCAACCACUUAGAUUAGAUCAUGGAAGAACCUUAGCUCUUCUCCAUCGUGAAUAUUUGACAUCAAUUUUGCAUUAUAUCAAAUCUGAAAUAACUUGUAUGCAGAGAAGAGAACCCAUAAACAUCCUACCACUAUUGCUUGAAGAAUGUUAAUUUCAUAUCUGAAUUUGCUUUGCUUGUUACUUCAUAAUGAAUUGUUUGUUAGGAGCAAUCUUAUUGAUGAGUUUAUCUACCAAAAUGAGUUGAUUUAUGUUCUCACUUGGAAACUUGCAAUCAGGUUUUAGAAUGGCAGUGAGCAACACGAGUUUGUGUAGCUGACUCACUUUUGCUGGCAGUGAACCACUCAACAAGUUAUUAGAUAUGGAUAAAAUCAGUGUAAAAGACCCAUUAUAUGUUUAAUCAUGGUGCCACUAAGGUUAUUGCUUCAUUUAUGAUGCACCAUUAGUGUAUCAAAAGCUUUCAUCAAGUAUGAAGCUUGUAAUUUUAUUUUCCACUCCCCAUUCACUUUUUCGAAUCAUCCAGCAAUAGUAAUGGCGCAGCAAUUAUGUUUUUGGUUUACACGGUAACAUUGAGCAUUCAUACCACUGCUAUAGCAUCCUAGCUUCAUACAGGUUUAUGUUUGUUGCUUGGUAGUCUCUCAUUUUUGUUUUUAAUAGGUAAGAGGUAAGCCUAACCUCUCAUCUAAUAAAUAUUAGGAAGCUUUCGCUUGAGGGCAUUUGACAGCUUCUUUCUGUGCUACUUUUGUUGGCUUUUAAUUCAUUCUUGUUGUAUACUUCUAGCAUUGGUUACUGUAUAAAGCCUCAAUGCUUCUUUGCAUAGUUCUAAAUAUGCCUUUGUAUGUUUUUGUUUUUCUGCAGUUCUACUUUUAUUGAACAGUUAUGGCUUGGCUGAAACAUUUAGCCAUGCUUUUUAUUGGUUCCUUAUCUAUACAUGGUUACUUGUUGCCGUUCCUCCUAAAGUUGAUUGGUGAUCAAACUAGCAUGAAUGGAGGUAAGAAAUAUAGCAUUCAUGCUCUAAUUAAUAUUAUUUCUUUUUGUUUCCUGAUCUUGAACAUUUUCUUUUCAUGUUUCGGUGGUUUGAUAGCCGUCUUAGAUGGCUUACGUAGAUGCCUUUUUUUUUGUAAUAACUUAGUUUUGAAUGAUUGAUGGCUAUUUUUUCUAACCUUUUCCAUAAAGUUCUAUUUGUAUUUAAGUGUGUUAUAAAUCUUCUCAUCUGGUUAUCUAUUAUUUUUCCCUUAUAUAUUUUUUUCUUUUUUAACUCAGAUUGGUUACUGUUUACUAUUUAGUCAUAUGGAAACUGACUUACCCUAAGCUGUAGCUUUGAAACAAUUAUAGGUAGCUAAUUUUAUGAGAAGAUUUCUAGUUUGAUUCUGCCUAUGUCAUAAAAACUUGAAUUGAUAGAUGAAAAAAUAUUGAGUGAAGUGAUAACCUAUAUUACAUUUUAAAAAGAGAAUGUAUGUUUAAAAUUUGAAGGUAAUAUUAUUGAAUGAGACAAACACAAACUUCAAAUAUAAUAUUAACAGUAAAUUUGACAAGAAAAAUAUUAAAAAAAUCAUAAAAACUUUGAGUUUUAAACCAAAAGAGGAAGGGCAAAUGUUAAGUUGAAAUUAGAAAUGUGACACCCCUAAAGUGACCCUAGUCGGAAAGUGGUUUCGGGACCACUAAACCGAGUCAUAAAGAUAAUUAACCGUCAUAGUUGAUGCUCAUUAUAUGUACAUAUGCAUGUGUGAAAAUUUCAUGUUUGAAUUUUGUUAAUGGUAAGUGAAUUUUAUCAAAUAGGACUUAUGUGAGAAAAUUUAGAAAUGUGCUAGGCAAAUGUAAAGUGGCCUAAUAAUGCAUGUUGUGAAAUGAUGGGUUUGCAUGUCAAAUUCCCCACUUUAGAGGAAGUGGUCGGCCAUGAGGGUAUGGGAUACAAAGCAUAUGCAUUUUGUAUUAAUAUUAUAAUGACUACAUGGUUUUAUAAUAGAAAAUAAGUAUUAAAAAAAACAUAUUAAAGACAUUUUAUGCUAAUAUGUGUGGGAAGAAUAAUAAAAUAUGAGGGGAGUGGGAGGAGAAACCAAAGUUGUCUCCCCCUUACUCCCCAUUGCCGUGACUAGAGAAAGGGGAGGAAAAACAAAAUUCUUCCUUUGUUGUUCAACAUGGCCGAAUGGAAGGAAGAAGAAGAGGGGAAGUUCGGCCAAGGUGGUUCUUGAGAUUAAGGUAUGUUCAAUGCUGCUUUUGGAGGUUUACACAUCCUUUGGAGGGUUAGCCUACUUCUAUUUAUCUCAUGGAUGAAAUUAGAGUUGUUGGAGAGUUAGGAUUCGGCUAAGAGGCUUCAAAAUUUUAGUUGAUGCCUUGAUACUACUAGCAUGUUAGCUAUAUGGAUGUGUUAAAUUACUUGAAAUACUAGAUAAAUUUAAACUCCCAACCAAAUUCUUUAGGCAACCCAUGUUAAAAAUUUCGGUAUUGAGAUGUCUAGAUCUUUCGGCCAUUGUAGCUAUGGAGGAAUAAAGUUUUUGUUUCUUGUUAAAUUGGAUGAAUCUUGUUGUAUGAGUGCUUAAACAAACUAUGAUUAAAUGGAUGCAUAAAUUCAAAGUGGGAAGAAAUGGGCUAUUAUAUUUGAUGUUAAUGCCGAAUAUGAAGAUGAUGAACUUGAAUAAAUAAUAUUCAGCUAGCAUGAUAAGUUAUGAAAUAUUAAGUAGAUGAUAUAAUUGAUUGAUGAAGUGGCUAAUAAGAAUUUCUAAUGAAAUUGUUGCCAAGGCCGAAUGUAUCAUGAAGUAAAUUUGUUUGAUUUAGCUCAAGAGCCUAGAGGAUCAAAGUUGGAUAAGGGAAAGGAAAAAAGUGAUCGAAGAGCCGUCGUAAUCGUUCGGCAACUUUCGAGGUAAGUUUUAAGUGUUUAAACGUUGAGUAAAUUCAAUUAUAAUAAGACGUGAUGAGCUGAUUUAAUAAGAUAUGAUGUGGCCAUGAUAUGUUCUAAGCUCAAAUGGUAAGUUCUUAAGUGUUUGAGCUUGGGAAUUUAAAGGUAAUUUGAAAUAGUCUGCUUCGGACAGUAGCAGUAACGUGAAUUUAGAAAAUCACCAUAAAUUUAUGGACUUGAAUUAGAGGCUGAAUGAGACAUGAAAUUAAAUCUUAAUGAGUCUAGUUUUUUAUAAAAGAAACCGUGUAAGCAAAGGAAUUUCCGAUAAUGAGAUAUUUAAAGUUGUGUGAGACGGUGUCAGAAUGACUCUGAAAUCCCCUGUUCUGUUUUUAGAAAAACAUUAUAAAUUGUACAAAAAUGGUUAUAAGAUAAAAUUUAUAUGCUUAAACUCCUUAAUGAGUUUAGUUUCAAAUAAAAUCAAAUACAACACAUUUUGAAUUCUGUAAAAUGAGAAAUUUGAUUCGUAGUGAAGAGUGGUCAGAUUAGUCAAACAGUGGAACAGGGGAAACUUUAAGAAAAAUCUGGUAUUGAUUGGCCAAACCUAAAAUUCUGGAAAUUUUAUUGAUGGAAGAUAUACGAGUCUAUAUUCAAGAAAAAUUAACGGAAAGUGAUUUGGAGUUUUGUAGCUCCAGUUAUAAAUGAUUUAGUAACUAUUGCUCAGGAAAAACAGCUUGUGCUGAAUUUGAGAUUGUGUUGUAAACUUUGAUAAGCUUGUUCUAGUUGCUCAUAAGCUAUCGAUUAAACCCAUAUAUGAAUUCUAAAUUGUGAUAUUGGAAAAUGAUAGAUGUAGAUUCAGCCAAGAGAGUAUGUGUGAUAAGGCCUAAUAGCCGAUGUGAUGAAUGUGAAAGUGUAUGUAUAUGUGAUAAGGCCUAAUGGCCGAUGUGAUGAAUGUGAAAGUGUAUGUAUAUAUGUGAUAAGGCCUAAUGGCCGAUGUGAUGAAUGUGAAAGUAUAUGUAUAUAUGUAAUAAGGCCUAAUAGCCGAUGUGAUGAAUGUGAAAGUGUAUAUGUGUGAUAAGGCCUAAUAGCCGACGUGAUGAAUGUGAAAGUUUAUGUGUGAUAAGGCCUAAUAGCCGAGGUGAUGAAUGUGAAAGUGUAUGUAUAUAUGUAAUAAGGCCUAAUAGCCGAUGUGAUGAAUGUGAAAGUGUAUGUAUAUAUGUAAUAAGGCCUAAUAGCCGAUGUGAUGAAUGUGAAAGUGUAUAUGUGUGAUAAGGCCUAAUAGCCGACGUGAUGAAUGUGAAAGUGUAUAUAUGUAAUAAGGCCUAAUUGCCGAUGUGAUGAAUGUGAAAGUGUAUAUAUAAGAUAAGGCUUAAUGGCCGAUGCGAUGAAUGUGAAAGUGUAUUUGUGUGAUAAGGCCUAAUAGCCGACGUGAUGAAUGUGAAAGUGUAUAUGUGUGAUAAGGCCUAAUAGCCGACGUGAUGAAUGUGAAAGUGUAUAUAUGUAAUAAGGCCUAAUGGCCGAGGUGAUGAAUGUGAAAGUAUAUAUAUGUGAUAAGGCCUAAUGGCCGAUGUGAUGAAUGUGAAAGUAUAUGUAUAUAUGUAAUAAGGCCUAAUAGCCGAUGUGAUGAAUGUGAAAGUGUAUAUAUGUGAUAAGGCCUAAUGGCCGAUGCGAUGAAUGUGAAAGUGUAUAUAUGUGAUAAGGCCUAAUGGCCGAUGUAAUAAAUGUGAAAGUGUAUAUAUGUGACAGGGCCGAGUGGCCAACGUAAUGGAUGUGAAAGUGCAUAAAUGUGAUAAGUCCCGAAAGGCAUUUGUGUCAGUACUAUAUCCGGGUUAAAACCCCGCAGGCUUUAUGCGAGAAUAUUAUCACUGAUUAAUGUUCUUAAGCUUCGUGCUUGUACUAUAUUCGAGCUCUAAAGACCCGAUGACUACGUGUGGGGAUUUUGUCCGGAUAAGACCCGAUAACUUCGUGUGGAGAUUAUGUCCGGGUAAGACUUCGUAAUAAGAAUUGCUUAUAAAUAUAUUCAAUGCGAAAGGUUAAACAGGUAUGUACUUCAAGUUUAUAUGUGAGCUUGAUUUGCACUAAAUCAUAAGGUAGUUAUGUGAUGCAUACGAAAGCAAUCUAUGAGACUAUUCCUAUGAUUAUGUGACAUCGGAUCAGUGUGAGAGGUGAUGUGAAAUCAUACGAUAUAUCUAUGUCACAUGAGUUCACUUUUAUGUGAAAGUUUAUCUGCCUAUUGUAUAUGAUGAGAUGUGCAGAUUCGGUAAAGGGAUGGUAUGCCCGAAGGAAGAGUGAAAUAAAAAUACGAACAACUAUGUUAUAAUUUGAUUGUUAUCUGUUGACACUGCUUAAAACUUACUAAGCAUUGUAAUGCUUACUCCGUUU
rnacentral:lncRNA from 1 species